GAUGAACGCUGGCGGCGUGCCUAAUACAUGCAAGUCGAGCGAACAGACGAGGAGCUUGCUCCUCUGACGUUAGCGGCGGACGGGUGAGUAACACGUGGAUAACCUACCUAUAAGACUGGGAUAACUUCGGGAAACCGGAGCUAAUACCGGAUAAUAUAUUGAACCGCAUGGUUCAAUAGUGAAAGACGGUUUUGCUGUCACUUAUAGAUGGAUCCGCGCCGCAUUAGCUAGUUGGUAAGGUAACGGCUUACCAAGGGAACGAUGCGUAGCCGACCUGACAGGGUGGUCGGCCACACUGGAACUGAGCCACGGUCCAGACUCCUACGGGAGGCAGCAGUAGGGAAUCUUCCGCAAUGGGCGAAAGCCUGACGGAGCAACGCCGCGUGAGUGAUGAAGGUCUUCGGAUCGUAAAACUCUGUUAUUAGGGAAGAACAAAUGUGUAAGUAACUAUGCACGUCUUGACGGUACCUAAUCAGAAAGCCACGGCUAACUACGUG
rnacentral:rRNA from 1 species